AUGUAUUUAAAGUAUUUUUUUUACAUCAAAUGCGAACAGAGAUGCCGAGCGCCGCUCAAUCCCGGGGGAAAAAUCAACAGGACUAAAAUGCAUGCACUUCUCUAACAAUGAGCUAAAAUUGUCUUGUAAAUGUUUCUGAAUGUAUAUUGAGAUCUAAUAAAAAGACAGUGUACAAACGUG